rnacentral:rRNA from 1 species
UACGUAGGGAGCGAGCGUUGUCCGAAGUUACUGGGCGUAAAGCGCGCGUAGGCGGGCUGUUAAGUGAGAGGUGAAAGGCUGGGGCUUAACCCCAUGCAGUGCCUCUCAUACUGGCGGUCUUGAGUGCGGCAGGGAGAAGUGGAAUGGCUGGUGUAGCGGUGAAAUGCGUAGAUAUCGUCAGGAACGCCAAUGGUGAAGACAGGUGACUGGGCCGGUACUGACACUGAGGCACGAAAGCGUGGGGAGCGAACGGG